GAUGAACCACUUCGGUGGGGAUUAGUGGCGAACGGGUGAGUAACACGUGGGCAAUCUGCCCUGCACUCUGGGACAAGCCCUGGAAACGGGGUCUAAUACCGGAUACUGAUCCUCGCAGGCAUCUGCGAGGUUCGAAAGCUCCGGCGGUGCAGGAUGAGCCCGCGGCCUAUCAGCUAGUUGGUGAGGUAACGGCUCACCAAGGCGACGACGGGUAGCCGGCCUGAGAGGGCGACCGGCCACACUGGGACUGAGACACGGCCCAGACUCCUACGGGAGGCAGCAGUGGGGAAUAUUGCACAAUGGGCGAAAGCCUGAUGCAGCGACGCCGCGUGAGGGAUGACGGCCUUCGGGUUGUAAACCUCUUUCAGCAGGGAAGAAGCGAAAGUGACGGUACCUGCAGAAGAAGCGCCGGCUAACUACGUGCCAGCAGCCGCGGUAAUACGUAGGGCGCAAGCGUUGUCCGGAAUUAUUGGGCGUAAAGAGCUCGUAGGCGGCUUGUCACGUCGGUUGUGAAAGCCCGGGGCUUAACCCCGGGUCUGCAGUCGAUACGGGCAGGCUAGAGUUCGGUAGGGGAGAUCGGAAUUCCUGGUGUAGCGGUGAAAUGCGCAGAUAUCAGGAGGAACACCGGUGGCGAAGGCGGAUCUCUGGGCCGAUACUGACGCUGAGGAGCGAAAGCGUGGGGAGCGAACAGGAUUAGAUACCCUGGUAGUCCACGCCGUAAACGGUGGGCACUAGGUGUGGGCAACAUUCCACCGUUGUCCGUGCCGCAGCUAACGCAUUAAGUGCCCCGCCUGGGGAGUACGGCCGCAAG
rnacentral:rRNA from 1 species